CAAUUUCAAAAAAAGUCCCGGACGAAACCCUAAACCCUAUUACUCGUUCGCUCGACGGCGCUCUCUCUCUCUCGUAUCCCCUCUCUCUCACCGCGCUCGGCCGACUUUUGGUCCCGGCGCUCCGCUCUCUCGCGAGGACGACGACGACGACGAGGUGGUGCCGUGGUGGCCAUUUCUAGGGUUUCCCUGCCCUCUCCCUCAGGCGCUCCCUCUCUCCUUGCUUCCCUCGUGUUCCCAACACCGAACCGUAGACCCCACUCGUCCUCGCUCUACGUUCGGAUCCGAGCCGCGCUCGCCCCACUCUCACGAAGAGGACGACGAGAUCGAGGAGGACACCUUUUGAGCACCCAAGUUCUUGUUUGAUCUACGUCUCCGGUUGUUCUUCUUGUGGUAUUACGUGGUGAUCACUGCUUCUCCUUUUCGAUCGGAGACGGCACAGCGAUGGCAGCGGACGGCGGACGGCCAACUCUCCGUCUCGUUCGAUGACGACAUGGCGGUGGUGCUGGUCGGCUAUUAUUACUCUUCGAUCAAAACCUGCGAACAGCCGCCACUUUUCCUUCCCGAUCGACGCUAGUAUGGCGGCAGCGGGUAGUCACCUCUCCGUUCUCCUUCAAAGAAGGUAUGUCGGCGGCGGAUGGCCACCACUUCUCCUCCGUAAAUCCUAAACCCUAAACCCUAAAUCCUUCAAUUGGUGGCGGCUCACUGGUAAGCCGCCGCCACUCCUCCAUUGUUCACACAAUGGGCUGCCGAGUUGGUGAAGGAUUAUAUUUAUACCUCUACAUAGAAAUAUAGGUGUAUUUUUAUACCUAUACAUUCUUUCUUUCGAAUCAACCAACCCGAAGAUAUACUAAUGAACUGGAAUAGAAGAGUCAAUCAGAAGUAUUCAUCUCACUUUGACAGUAAACUUUUACUAAAUUAUCAAAGUUUUAAAUUAAUAUUAGGAGAUUAUGUAGUAAAAAAAUGUCGAAGUUUGUUGUUGUUGUUGUUGUUGUUGUUUAAUGCUUGUAACACUCACUCUCAUUUGCUAGUUUAAGCCAAAAAAAAAAAAAAACUCUAUUGGUCUA